rnacentral:rRNA from 1 species
CACGUAGGAGGCAAGCGUUAUCCGGAUUCACUGGGCUUAAAGCGCGUGUAGGCGGUCCGGUAAGUCGGACGUGAAAUCUCCCGGCUCAACUGGGAGGGGUCGUUCGAUACUGUCGGACUUGAGGGCAGGAGAGGGAGGUGGAAUUCCGGGUGUAGCGGUGAAAUGCGUAGAUAUCCGGAGGAACACCUGUGGCGAAAGCGGCCUCCUGGUCUGCCCCUGACGCUCAGACGCGAAAGCCAGGGGAGCGAACGGG